AUUGAACGCUGGCGGCAUGCUUUACACAUGCAAGUCGAACGGCAGCGCGGGCUUCGGCCUGGCGGCGCGUGGCGAACGGGCGAGUAAUGCAUCGGAACGUGCCCAGUAGUGGGGGAUAGCCCGGCGAAAGCCGGAUUAAUACCGCAUACGACCUGAGGGUGAAAGCGGGGGACCGAAAGGCCUCGCGCUAUUGGAGCGGCCGAUGUCGGAAUAGCCAGUUGGUGGGGUAAAGGCUUACCAAGGCGACGAUCCGUAGCUGGUCUGAGAGGACGACCAGCCACACUGGGACUGAGACACGGCCCAGACUCCUACGGGAGGCAGCAGUGGGGAAUUUUGGACAAUGGGGGCAAUCCUGAUCCAGCCAUGCCGCGUGCGGGAAGAAGGCCUUCGGGUUGUAAACCGCUUUUGUUCGGGAAGAAAGCCUCUGGGCUAAUACCCCGGGGGGAUGACGGUACCGGAAGAAUAAGCACCGGCUAACUACGUG
rnacentral:rRNA from 1 species